AAAUCCGAAAAUAAUGAUAAUAAUCUAUUCAAAGUAUUUGCUUUUUCAAGCCAAAAGUAGAGAGAGAAAAUAUCAAAGUAUAUUGUCAAAACUCAAUAUGUCGACUCAAAAACCCUAAAACAAUGAUUUUAAAUAGUUCACCCUAAUUAUGGAAACAAAAUAAUAAAAUUCAGAAAUCUCUUGGAUCAGGUGACGACAUUUGUGACAGCCUAUCAGGAGGCUGACGACUUAUCAUAAAUGUCAUCAGCUUCUUCUUUAGUUUUGGCUCUUCCUACUUAAGGCUGAUGACAAUCUUGAUGACUUAUCAACUCCUUGAUGACCUAUCACAAAAUAUCGUCAAGGCUCUGCUUCAGUACUUUAGUGCUGCCUUAGGUUGACGACAUUCUUAACAGCUUAUCAGACCCUUGACGACUUAUCACAAAAUGUCGUCACAGACUUCAACUUAGGCUAAUUCUCUAUCUAUGGCUGACGAUGACCUUGAUAGCUUAUCACAAGGCUGACGACUUAUCACAAAUGUUGUCAACCACACUUUUCUUCUGAUUUCAACUUCUUUUCUUCUAUUCUUAUUCGUUCUCUAUCAUAUCAGCUUCUACUGCAAAAUCAAACAUAAACCAAUAAAAAAAGAUAAAAGUUGCUUAAGACUUCACAAUUAUUCUUAGUUAAAAGCCUCAAAUGUGUUAGUGUUAGCUCACACAUCAAUACUACAAACCAACUCAGAAUCUUAGCACGAUAUGUAUGAAAAAAAUAAAGAACUCCAAAGAAUGACGCAUAGCCUCCCGAAGAUUGGAAAUGGCCAUCAAUGUUUUGACCCGCAGGACUCUAUUAGAAACUUGCUCUUGUACCAAUAAUACCAGUAAAACCUAGGCUCUGAUACUAAUUUGUCACAUCCCAAAUUUUGAGUCAUGAUGGCACCUACCAUAACCCACUAGUAGGUAAGCCGACACCAUAACCCGGAGCUAAUGCAAUGGGUUACCUUGGUAGAAACAUCCAACAUGGACCCUAUGUAGCAACACAAUAUAACAACAACAUUCUACAAACAAAAUUACUAACAUUCGAAUACCAAUACCAUGACCUGGUAGUAUAAGUACAAGAGCAACUCUAAAUCUGACAACAAAAAUUAGAAUUUGAAGUCUAGAAACUUAAAUAGUCUUAUACAACUGUCUUGAGUACAAAAGACAAGUAAAGAAAGAAUAAAAAGAGGGAAACUCAAACUCCAAGAUCUCGCCCUAUCCCCUGAUGAUCAACACAACACGAUCUCGACUCAACAGUGGAAACUAGAACUCAGGUUUGCACCAAAAAGGUACAUAAAUGCAGUAUGAGUACCAAAACACGGGUACUCAUUACGCAUCAUCGGCUGACUGAGCUCAAAUAUGAUAUAAAGAUGAGAUAAAGUAAGACAAUGAUCUUAAUGUCAAGGGGUAGGAUCGAACCUGAAUCUACUUUAAUACUACUGUAAGAACAUCUAUACUACUAAAGCAAUAACAUGACAUCCUGUUUCAAAAUACUCCAUAAUCACCAUAACAACUGAGAAUCAUUUUGAAAGAGUACAGUUAUAUACACAAUAUCAAAACAUCUACUUUAUAUAAUCAUCAUUAACCAUCUUUAGACCAUAAACACAAGAACUUACCACAACGUCCACUAUCAGGAAGUACACGAAAGAGAGCACAACAAAGAACGCAUCACAACAUCCCAUACCACCGAAGAAUAUAUAAAAGAACAUCAAACAAGAACUCAUCACAACAUCCUAUACCACCGGAGAGUACACCAAAGAAUACAACCAAUAAUACAAUAAAGCACAACUACUCCAUCAAUUUAACAAAAAUCGCAGGUAGCAUAACCCCGCCAUGGGUCAUUACCGAAAUCCACUUCCAAUUACCCAUACCUUAAUUCAACAUAAAGAAAGCAACAUUGUCAUAGCAUAGGUUUGUAAUCAUUAAUUCUAUAAUUCAUUGAUAAAUACUGCGAAGUCCACACUACUUAACCUUAUUUUUCCAAAAGUCAAAAGAUUACAAGUCUUAAAAUCACUAGUAAUCAAAUUGGGGAAAAACUACAAGACACCCAUAGUAUAGGUUAUUCAACUAUCAUAAGGCCAUUCUUUAACUAGGAUCAUCAUUACAUGAGUUAUCAACUAAGCCAUCUCAACUUCACAUGUUAGGAGAUAAUUUAACUAACCAUCACGCAAUACUAGAUCCAUCAUCACUAAGCAUGUCACAAACUUAAGGACUAGUUUCCAUAUUUUAAUCAAGUAAAGUCCACCAACUAGUUUACUAGGUUUCGAGGUUUCAAAUAAUAAUCAUAUACUUUAGAAGUAGCUAGUUAUCACAUAAGCCACCUUACUAGGCAAGAUUUCAUAGUAUAACCUCUUAUUCAAGUCAAGUAUAUAUAUAGGUUAGCCCUUGAAUUUUUUAUGAAAGUUUACACAUAACGCUAAGCCUUAACUUAAUAUUAGACAUAAAUUUCCCCUAGUAGCUAAUUUAGCAUCAACAAGGGUCACACCUCUUAUAUAGUUAUUUGGAACAAGAAAUGAAUAAUAAUUUACCAGGAGAGACCUCAUAAUUCAAGCAUAUAGGUGGUUGGCCCCAUAUGGCCUAAACUUACAAAUAUCAAUACAUAUAAGUAAAUUUGGCCCACACAGCAUCAUUAUGUUCUUACCUCUUUCGGAUUCAUCAGGCAUCAUCACAAUAUUGACAUAUUUCUCUGAAUUCAUCGGGAUUAUCAUAAUAUCACACAUUCCUCUAGAAUUGAACCGGGCAUCAUCAUAAUAUAACAUAUUCCUCCAAAUUCACCGAGCAUCAUCAAAAUAUCACAUAUUCCUCCGAACUCGAAUCGGGCAUCAUCAUAAUAUCACAUAUUCCUUCGGACUCGAAUCGGGUAUCUUUAUAAUAUCACAUAUUCCUCCAGAUUCACUGGGCAUCAUCAUAAUAUCAUAUAUUUCUCCAGACUCAAACUGGGCAUCAUCAUACUAUCACAUAUUCAUAUAGAGUCAAACCGAGCAUCAUUAUACUAUCACAUAUUUUUCUAGAUACAACAACAUACGUCCACAUGCAUAGCCAAACCAAUAACCAAAUACUCAAGCUCACAAUACAUAAAAAAAUAGGGAUGUGGGAUAACACUUGCCAUUUUACCUUACUAAUAAGCUUCACACGUAAUGUGAGCAUCAAUAAGAGCAUGAGUAUUUACCAAACAUUCACAAUAAUCACUUAACAAGGUUAUUCAAGUCAUGAUAAUAAGAAAAUAUGAUAAUCGAGUGCAACCAUCCCAACUUCUAUACAUAUACAUAUAGCUUGGACAAUCACUACGUAUCUAGGUCGCUAAGCAUUUACUUUGUUCAAGCUUAAGGUGGGUCAAUUCCCACUUCUAAAUCCCGAGAAUACCAAGCUUACUAAAAUAUGUCUAGCAUCUACCCAAAAUUAGGCUAAGUCAUCCAUACCUCACCAUAAAGUCUUACCAAUCCUUUCUAAAUCUAUAGGGAAAGUCUCUUCAAGAAUCCUUCCUAAGUAAACCCAACACCAAGGUCAUCUCCUAUCUAGGAAUUAUAUAGGUUAAUACACUCCUACAGAUAGAGAAGUAUACCAUUCAUGUCUACUUAGGACAACUAUAGUAUUCUCACACUAUUCAUGAGACCACAAUUAAGCUAACCAAGGUCCUAAAGUAAGUGUCAAAUAUCAUACCUUACAAAUCCAUGGACUAUAACAAUUAAUAAAUCCCAAGUUCACUAAUUAAUCAACUAUCGUCUAAAUUCCCCACCCAAUCUCGCAAGAUAUUAAUGAUUAUAUUAUAAACAAGCUCAAUCUGGACCACGAGUAAGCCUAACCUACCUUGAAUCCAAGCAAAUCAUGAACCAACGAGUUUUUCCUUUCCUUUUUGAGAAGCUUUCUCUUCCACAAGCAAUGCUAUCAACAAUAUAAUCUAAUCAUUACAACAAGAAUAAAAAUACCCAUUAUAGCACCAUUGUGCCAUGGGUUUCAAAAUGACAUCAAACCUCAAGUGGGUCCUACCUUUGGAAAAUGAGUUGCUGAUACCAACCCAUAGUCUAAAUAUUAUUAGGGAGCUAAUAACCCUCAAGAAAUUUAAGUAAAUCAAUCAUAUUUUUGGAUACAAUUGAACGUCAAAGACUUAGGAUUUUUUGGUCUAGAAAUCAAGAAAUUAAUAUCAAAUUUGAAAAAAUCUUACCUUAGAUUUGUAGAAGAAAAAUUAGAUUAACACAAGUUGCUAAGCUUCUAAUCAAUCGACAAGACUCAUUUUUUCUGUCAACAAAUAUUUAUGGCUUUUAGGGUUUUGAAAAUGCUGAAAAUAUCUCAAAAAUUGGCCAAAGGGCCUUUUUAUACGAGUUCAAAUGGGUCAGUAGGGUCAAAACUUGUUUUUCACCUACCAGACUCAUUCAGACUCUGUUUUUCACAAACGAACUAUGUAACCUUACUAAAUUUGAUAUUUUAGAUACAUUGGUGAAGUUAGAUUUGCCAUCCGAGGUCAUUUAAGCUACUUGUUGGUCCCACACCCAUAUAUUUCGACUUUUGACUUUUUGACUAAUGGGUCAAAUUAGCUUGGGUGCUGUGGGAUCCGAACCAAAAGUCUACCUAUCGUAAAAUCAAUAUUACAUAGCUACUGAUGUAGUCAAAAUUUGUAUCUGAAAUUGUUUUGGUAAAGUUUUUGUUUAGAGGCCAUUUGGAAUCGACGAAGACUUCAAAUUGGAAAAGUGGUUCUAAAAACCAAACAAACUGUCAUGUAACCGACUUAUCGAUUCCACCAAGUAACUAAUGACUUGUGACGGCUAUGAAGGAGCUCUAUAAGCAAAGAUAAGCAAAACACAGCUAAUGGCCUGGAGGUUCAUUACAAAUACACACUUGAAUUUAUUUUUGGUUAGAAAUGAUAUAAAUACCAAGUUCUUUAUCAACUACAGUAUAUGAAGGACUUUGUUGAGUGUCAACGCCUUUCCUUAUGUUAUCUUCAAGAAAAUUUUUCUUGUUCCUUCAACCUUUGCUAUUGUGGAGUUAUCCAUAUAAAUCUUCUCCUCAUCUUGAGCCGAAGCAUAAGAACCAAAAAACUCCUUGUUGGCACAUAUGUAGCAUGUGGCACUGGAAUCAAUCCAUCACUCUUUAGGAUUACCCACCAAGUUACAUUCUAAGAGCAUGGAUCAUAGAUCAUCCACUUUAUUUUUUGAUUCAGCCAUGUUGGCUUGAUCCUUCUUCUUGACUUUCUUUGGGGCCCGAUAAUCUAUGGAUUUAUGGCCAGCCUUGCCAUAAUUAAAGCAAUUUUCUUUGAACUUUUUAUUUAGAGGAUUGCUUUGUUGUUCAAAUGUUUUCUUUUAUUUCUUUAAGUUAUUAGGGUCAUCUUCAUCAAGAUUUGCUCCACUAAUUACAGAAUUCCCUUUUUCAUCUACUUUGUUAUCUUCUUCAGUAUGUAACCUCACGAUGAGGCCUUCAACAGAAAUUUUCUUUUCUUUAUGCUUCUAGUAAUUUUUAAAGUCGUUCCACAAAGGUGACAACUUUUCUAUUAUAGCCACUACUUUGAAAGCCUUAUUCACAAUCAAACCUACAACAAAGAUUAUAUGAUUGUUAAAAAGAACUUUAAUAUGUUCAAGUAAGGUACUCACUAUGUUUAUACCUUCUGCUAGGAGAUCAUGGAUGAUCACUUACAGUUGUUGCACUUGAGAGAUGAUAUUCUUACGGUUUGUCAUCUUAAAUACAAGAAAUUUUGCAAGAAGAACUAUUUAGUUCCAGCAUCCCCAGUUUUAUAUCUUAAUUCCGAUGCAUCCCAUAAUUUUUUCAAGGUUUUUAGACCGCUGUACACAUUGUACAGAUACUCUUGAAGACUACUUAGUAUAUAUUUCUUACAUGAAAAGUUUGAGCCUUUUCUUGCCUGCAUUACUAUAAAACGUUCCUUGUUCGGUAUCUCUUAGGGAAAUUGUUUAACAUUUUCAAAGAUAAACCUUUAAAAACUUAGAGUCGUCAAAUAGAAGAACAUCUUUUGCUACCAACGUUUGAAAUUCACACCUGGAAACAUUUUGAAUUUUUUUGUUGGUGCCAUAGUGAGCGCGACACUCGUAUGGCUUAUUGUAGCAACAGUUGUAGUUGCUAUACUUGUCUUUUUACCAUUUUAAUGACUUUCAACAGGCAUUUUUUCUGUCACAAAAAGACAACCAAUUUAGUAUGUCAGAAGAAUACUAACUAUAAAGUUUUAAAAACUCUAAGCACCAACUUGUUUCUAGUUUAACAGUGAAGUUUUUAUGUUUUUCAAAUCGUCAAUCGAAUGAACUUUAACUUGUGGUAAAAUUUUUAUAUCUUUAAAUCACUAUUAAGUUCAAACAGAGUAGAAAUUCAAAUUCUUUAAUCUUUAGAAGCAUAAAAAUACAGAGAUUUCAAUGAAUCAGUGAAGUAUUUAUAUUCUGCAAACCAAAUUCCCAAAUUGAUUUGUCGGUUAAGUUUUUAUAUUCUAUCUGUAUUGAUUAAUCAUGUGUUUCAAGGCAUCCCUAUACAUCUAUUAUCAAAACUCAAUCCUCCUAAAGGGGUACUAAGGCAUUUACAUAGCAUCUUUGCUAUGUUUUUCCGGAAGAACACCACAGAUAAGAAGAGUAGACAUUGGGUGAGUUGGGACACUUUAUGCUUACCUAAAUUAGAAGGAGGUGUUGGUUUUAGGUCUCUUUUUGAUGUUUCUAAUGUUCUUUUUUGUAAAAUUUUAUGGAACUUGAGGAGUAGACCUUCACAAUUGGGAGCUUUUAUGACCAACAAAUAUUGCAAAAAAGCUUCAUCCAGUAUUGACCUAAUGUAGGGGAGAUUCCCCUAUAUGGAAAAAGCUAAGAUUUGACAGAGAGCUCAUAGAGCAUCAAAUUUGGUGGAAGAUUGAGAAUGGGAAUUCUAGUUUUUGGUAUGACUUUUGGACUACAAUGGGAGCAUUAUAUCACAUUAUCGCAGAUAUAGGGGAUGGGGAAAUUGAAGUUAGGAAUUUUACAACUGUAAAUAGGUGGAAUGAGCAAAGUUUGAGUAAAUUUUUCCCUAAAGAGAAUGUAGAUUUCAUCAUUAAAAACAUCUGAUCUCCAAUGCAAAUAGAUAAUCUAGAUAAAUAGUGUGGAUGCUUGAACCUAGUGGAAUUUUCUCAGUCAAGAGUGUGUGUGAGUAUACUAUACAAAAGGAUCAGAAAGAAGACAUAUUUUAAUAUUUAUGGAGUGAUAAGCUGCCUUUUAAAAUAUCUUUUUUCACUUGGAGAAUGUGGAAAUUCAGGGUGCCAGUGGAUAAAAUAGUGCAACACAUGGGUGUUAACAUGGUUUCUAGGUGUUGGUGUUGCACUAAUGGUUACUAAUGUUGCAGGUAUAUACAUUGAAGGCUUACAGUUAUCACAAGUGAUCAUUAAAUGGUGGCCAAGAAAAUGUUGUUCAAACUUAAAGCUACUUAUGAGAGCUAUAUCAUCUAUAAUUAUUUGGAACCUAUGGAAGAGAAGGAAUAGAUUAAAGCAUUGAAAUACAUCAUCAUUUACUCAUUUAGUUUUCAAGGUCAACGCUAACCUAUGAAGACUCGGGAGAAUUCUACAUCCAAAAAUACAUGAUUUCCCAAUACACUGGUAAAAUAUUAUGGUAUAUUAAGAGAACCUUAAAGCCAAACUAUUUCAUCUUCCAAUUUGCUGGAAACCACUGGAAGGAUGUCUAAAAUACAACACUGAUGGUAUAUCAAGAGGCAAUCCAUGUAGGAGCACCUGCAAUUUCUUCUUGAGGAACUUUGCAGGUGAUUUAAUAUAUGCUCAAGGGGAAAAAAUUCAGGAAAGCACAAUUCUAGAAGCAGAAGCCAUGGCAAUAAAAAAGGCUCUAGCACACUGUGUGACAAAAGGGAUUACUAAAGUUAGUCUGGAAAUGGAUUCACUAAUGAUGAUUAAAAUUCUUACAAAAAUGUGAUUACCUUGGAAUAUUAUUGGGAUCGUGGAAGCAGAACAGAAAUAUUUAGAACUAUGUCAGGUUCACAUCCAACAUGUAUACAAAAAGGGUAAUUAUUUGGUUGAUUGCUAGCCAAUUUAGCUUUUGAUAAUACAGGUAGACUUGUCUUUAAUUUCUUCUCAGAAUUACCAAGUCAUGCCAGAAGGAUUUUGAAUCUAGAUAAGCAUCAAGUGCCAAAUUUAAGAAUUCGUACUAAGGAAAUAGUUAGAUAUAAGGAUGGGUGUCAAGGAUCCGUCACAACAAUUAUAAGAUGAGUUCAAGCAUUUUUAUUUUCUUGAUGUAGAUUAGUAUUUCUAGUACCUUUGUAGAGGAACAAUUCAUUUCAAAAACCCAAUUCAUAAGGGCAUUUAUAGAUCUAAAGUCAUUGUACUUGAGCGAAGAAUUAUAGAAGACAUGAUUAUAAGUCUUGGUACAGAUUCAAACUUCUUUGAGUCGUCACAGAUGCAAGUCAAAGCUAUAGGAAAACACACAGAUAUAAAGAUAAAUAUUUGCAAAGGGAAAGCCAACUUAUACCUGGAAAAAACUCCAAAAAUCUAUUUGAAGCAGGUUGUGGUCGGUUAAUAAGAAGCUCGCCGGAAGUCUUUCGCUCCAGGAGCUCAUCACCAAACAUUUUUGUUGCUAAAAAUAUUAGUAGGAAAGCCAAGAAAUAAAAAUAAUAUGGGAAAGGAGCUUACAUUUGUUUCACAGCAGGUCAUCACUUUCCUAUUUGCUCAAAUGAUGGAAGAUGAUGGAGAGGAAUUAGCAGAGCUUCUGAUUCAUUUGCCUCUUCAUUUUCUUACUUUUUGUAUUAUUAUUUCCAAGGAAAUGUAUCGAUUGGGAUGCUCUUUUUUUUAUGGACAUGGUUUUAUU
rnacentral:lncRNA from 1 species